ACUCAUCCUUCCUCUUUUGGGUGAGAUGUGAGGAGAUAAAAUCCCCAUGUGAUGAGAUGAAGUGAGGUUAAUAACGCAGGCAUUGUGAUGUAGCGUGAGGCCACUACUGACCUUCCGACAACAGUCAGGAGGAGGCUCAUGUGCCGUGGAGCCCCAGUUAACCAUGGGUAACUGAAACUCUGGAGGCAGAACCAUGGGUACUGAGUGUUAACUUCUCACAAAUGAACUCCCACAUACUCUUUCCAUGUCAGUUUUAUAGGAUUUUUUCAAGUAGUUUCUGAAAACUUUCUAAGUAUAUUCAGAGACACUGUGCAACCCAACCCCAGGGGGCACCGUCCACACUGCUGUCAAUGAGACUAAAGACCCCCAGUUGUCUGUAUGAUGGGUACGAGCAACUGUAAGGCCCCCAACUGCUACGUCACUGAAACCUGUGACUAGAAUCACUCAGCUUCACUGGGUCCGUCUCAACAGUCCCAAAAUGUCGACAAGAGGUCUCCAGGGGGGUGACUGAGAAGCACAUCUUAAUCAUGGAUAAGCGGCACGUUAAUUUUUUCUCUUCACAUAGAGUAUACCCACUUCUUUUUUUGCCCCAAACCUCCUUUUCUCUCUUUCCUGCUUAAGGUUCUCAGAAAAAGUCAGAAACUAUAAAUGAGGUCAUUAAACUUGAA